CCUGCCCCUACAGGUGUUGCAGGUGUGGCUGCUGUGUCACAUGUGCAUCAGUUGGUGCCAGGGAUGAGAGAGGCCAUGUCUACACUCUGUUCUGACAACAUCUGAAUAAUUUGUAGCCUAAAAUU
ensembl:snoRNA Gm25561 predicted gene, 25561